CCAUCUGUGAACGAUUUAAAUAAAACGUGUCAUGGGUCCAUAAUUAUUUAAGAACGAUUAGAAAUAAAAACACAACAUAAACCCCCAAAUCUCAAAUAGCUUUAAAGUGCUCUCAUCUCUUCUACGUCUCUGUUAACUUUGCUCACCCCAGGCCUAUGCUGGGCAGAGAUUAGGUUGUAUAACAGAUGCUCUUUGUGUUUAGGCCAAAUUGGAUGAUUUAACAGUCGCUCUCCCUGCAGCUGUGGCAACAAGCUGUGGCAACUGUUGCUCACAAAGAGACCGACCGGCUCAGCUGGAAUCUGCCUCACCUAUAGAGUGGUAUGAUGCCCGCCUUUACCUUGGAAGCUGGUUCAAUUGCCGGAAAACAUAUUCCGCGCCUACGGUAAUGACAAGAGGCCUCAAAGACAUGAAGUGUGACUGCCUGCUGUCCUUGUGGUGACAUUCGAUGUGAGCUGCUUUUGAAUGAGCCUCCCUGUGGGCACACAUCUGCUGACAUGGAGCCGUUAUGUCCCCGGACCACUGGGACGGAAAGGGCUUUGUCUUCCACAAAGCAAAAACUCCCAUGCGUUCUGAUGCUAACAGGACAAUAUCCUUUUGUACCGAGCUGCUUGGGGUGGGGCAUGAGGAGGAGGAAUUAAAAGUGGGCCCGACUAUACCUGGGGAAUAGAUGGCAACGCGGUCGAUUCCCCGAUCCUCCUCUUGCAGUUGUCGGAGAAACACCCCGACGGAGUCCGAGAUAGGCUUGAGUGUGAACUGGCAGCGUUCUCGCCGAGAAGGUAGCCUCACAGAUAUCACCGGUAAACCAUUUUGAUAAACCACCGUCACGUCUGAGCAAAAAGACCCACAAACAUAUAACGAGAGUGGGCUCCUAAUUCUCAGAAUGUUGUAAGGAAGAAAGGAAACAAACCACUCUAGCAGCGCACUAACUGGCCACGAAGUGCUAAUGAGCUCACUUGAAGCAUCGAAAGGCUCCUCUGUUGUUCUCAGUAGCACUGCACACCUCAAAACUAGAUCAGGAGGAACUGCCGUGGAGAUUCAGAAAGCAUCGGACUUCCCAGAGCUGCUACCCACUCCCGUGCUCUUGCCUGUCUCAACAACAAACCCCCAACCAUUCUCAUUUUCAACGGACAUUUGAUGACUGUCUCAAAAACAUCCCUACGAUUCCCCACAAUUCCCUCAGCCCCGCCCCUGCAAAGCCCUAGGUUUUGUAGAGCUCCUGUAUCGGAUUUUGUUGUAUCAAGGUGCUACUGGUGCUCUAUGACAAGCAACUCUUUGUAAAUGGCGGCUUUCCCAUGGCAUGGUUGACACAUCCAUGCUCUAUGCGACCGUAGUUCAUUUGUUUGUAUCACUGAGCGGUAUUUUUAAAAAUUCUAGGUUAAUGGAAAGUAAUGGGUCCACCCUCGUAUCUCCAUCCUCCCAUGCCCUAUUCCAAUGUAAAACCCACUGCAACUUCUCUUCACGCCCUUGACAGAAAGUCUUAGCUAUCAUCAAUGAAGCUUCUACGAUGACUGGAAUGUUCUUGUGCCACAGUUAGCGUCCAUCUGUGGCAGAUUCAGCCUCCUGCAAAUUGGUAUUUGUGAAAUCUUUGGGCCUAUACUGAACAAAGCACGCAUUAUUCUCUAAAUACUAAAGUGACCGUUUGCAAAGCAUUUGUGCUUCGUUCAGUGCCCCAAGCCACCGCCUCCUUUCUGUCUGAAGAGCCACCUUAAACAUGACUGCUGCACAAAUGCACUGCCAGUGGGUUCUCUCCAUUUUUGUAUGUCUAAGAAAGUCACUGCACCUUGAGUUUUGGAAGAUAUUUUUAGUGUGUAAGAGAAAAUCUAGCUGACAGAUUCUCUUCUCCCCUUUUGGCACUUUUGGAAGAAUUAGCUCCAUCAUCCUGUCGUACCUGGAACAUGGAGUUCGGGCUUUUUGUAUCUUUAUUCUAUCUGGGAUCCGUGUUCCUCCGUGUGCUCUUUGUGGUCCCUGCUCAGCAUGGUUUUCAAUGGGCUGAUUGUGACGUCACUUGUUUUCCUUCGUGAUUGUUCUACUUAAACAGAUGCAUGUCGGAGAGCGGAGCAUUCACCGUGUUCACCAAAUUUGGAGAAAAAUCUUAUUUAAUUUCCUGUCUGUCUUCCACCCUCUUCCUGAGAGCCCUAACUAUGCUUCCGGUCAAUCAUGUGGUAGUCUUGACACUGAGAGCCCUAACUAUGCUUCCGGUCAAUCAUGACACUUGGUGACCCUUCUUCAUGUAUUUCAAGUCCUUCCCGCUCAGCUUCUGGAUCACCUUAGCACUAUUCCCCUGUCCCCUACCUUCUUAAUUCCUCCUGUAUGGUUUUGUUUUAAUUGACUGAUUGACUGACUGACUGACUGACUGACUGACUGACUGACUGGUUGUUGGUUUUUCAAGACAGGGUUUCUCUGUGUAGCGCUGGCUGUCCUGGAACUUGCUCUGUAGACCAGACUGGCCUGGAACUCAGAGAUCCGCCUGCUUCUGCUUCCCCGGCGCUUGGAUUAAAGACAACCUGGAUCUGGCUGGUCACCGCUCCGCGCAGGAAGCUAUCACACAAGCUGUCUAACUAGCAAGGCCUGUUCAGCGUCCUGGCUCGUUGUUCAUCUCAGCAAGCCGAUCGGGCCCUGGCUGUUUCUUCUCCUCAUACAUUAGUCUGGAGACUGCCUCCUGCGGGAAGCUGGGAAGAUGCCUUUAGCUGGGAUUGCAGGAUUAUGCUGCUUGACGUCCAGAUGUCUGAAAACCGCUGCCACGGGUAAGUUGUGUGUUUGUGGCGGGGCAGACAUCACCAUUAGAGCUCAUACUUCACGGACACAGAUACGUGACUUGAGAUUUGACAUAGAAAGUUAAAAAACAACAACUGAGUACACACUCAAAGAAUAGUGUUGUAGGAAAUACUUAGUCUCGACCAGGGUUUCUAUGCCGUCUUUGACCAUUCAGUUCCUGGAUAAAAGACACACAGCCUUUAUAUUUACAAUAAGCCUUAAUCAGCACAAGACCUAGGCAGAUCUACUCUCUAUGCCACAAUGUCUAUUUCUCUAUGGACAAACCCACAGUAUAACUUGCCAUGUUCCAUUUGGGCUGCUCUUAAAUUCAAUUGGCCAGCUGUCAUAACUGUGAUUUUAUGAUUCUUACCCCAUGGCAUCUUUUGCUCUCUCCACCUUCCUCUCUCUCUUCCUCCCCAGACCUGAAGCCUGGGAACCCCAGAUCCUGUUCAUCCCAAUUCUGCCCAGCUCUAGGCUGUAGGCAUCUAUAUUCACCAAUCAGGGAUAACUUGGGGGGGGGGUGACUGGGUACAUCCCUUGGGUACAUCUGUUUCAGGGCACUAGUCCCAAGGAACCGGUAUUUAGCAUUAGAAUACUGACAAGCAGCGUCAGACCAACCCGCAACAGAGCAGAGGCUGCUUUCCCAGGAACAGGUCAAACAAAACACCCAAUACCAACACCAGCCAUAUCUGCAACAUCUAGACACGUUUGAAAAGAUUAUCAUUUUCCUUCUCAGAAAGAAUCCUUAGCCCAGCAUUCCCAGCCUCUGGUAUGUAAACACAUAGGCUUCUUCUACAGACAGCAAUGAUGGUAUAUUAAGUGAUUAGCGUUUUCACUUGGCAUCUUUAUAGCAAUUAUCUUCUUUCUGUUAUGCAAAAGACAAGCUAACCACAGAUCUCUAAAGGAGGCAGAGGGGAUUUAAAGAAAAGAUAGAAUUCUUGGAGCUAAGGCUUGGAGCACAUCAUCACACCAACAGUUUCCACAGAUAAACGCCCAAGGUUGCUGUCUUUAAAAUAACGGAGCGAGACAUAGUCAACAGGGAGUCUGAAGAUCUUUGCAUCUUCCUUUAAAUACUAAGCCUUUGGAAGGAAAGAAAUAGAAGAGUUUCGAGCAACAACUCUGCAUGGAAUACACAGACCUUCAUUAUAAUACUACUUUCUAAGAGAAGCCCCAGGUCCUCCUCUUUCCCACACGUUGGAUUGCAGGGCAAAUGUUAGACUUCUUGGUUAACAGCCUACAGGGUAAUCCCCAAAGGCUGUCAGCUUUAACUGUAUCAAGAAAAGGCCCAUGGAGGCUCACAGAGGCAGAACCUCCACCCAAGAGGACAUAGGGGCCAGACCCAGGCCUUCUACACAUUUGUAGCAGACGUGCAACUGGGUCUUCAUGUGGAUCCCCUAACAUUGGAGUGGGGUUGUCUCUGACUUUGGUGCCUGCCAUUGGAUCCCCUUCCCCUAGCUGGACCGCCUGGCUGGGCCUCGUGAGAGUGGAUGUGCUCUUAGCCCUGCUUUGACUGGAUGUCCCAAGGUGGGGUGGUACUAAAGCAAGGCUUCCUUUUCUUUGGGGUCGGGGGAUGCUGUAAGAGUGGGACUGGGAGGAGAGGAGGGAGGGGGUUAUGUUCAGGAUGUAAAGUAGGAUUUACAAGGAGGGUCACAACACCCAUUACUACAGAGACACUCCUUUAAAGUGUAAGUUCCACAAAGUAGCUUUGGCUUUGACUUCUAUAUUAAUAAAAUAAGAAUAAACAAGCACAUUUACCAAGAGUGUUGCUUCAAAGAGGCUUAGAAGUCACUGGGUUGUCACCAUAAACACUUAGAGCCAGUCAUAGUGCAACAAGGGCUUUAAGCAUAAAACAGAGUAUCUGGAAUUCUGUAGGCAGAGAUGGCUCAUUGGUUAAGAGCACUGGCUGCUCAUCCAGAGGACCCAGGUUCAAUUCCCAACAGCCACAUGGAAACUCACAACAGUCUGUAACUCCAUCCCAGAGGAUCUAACUCUCUCCUCUGACUUCUGCAGCACCUCACACAACAUGGAAUUCUGUGGGCUAAGGAGAGCAGUGCAGGUGCUCUGGACAGACUAGGAGUAGACUGGGAACAGAC